GCAAGACUCCUUACUAAACGAAGGAGGGCAGAGGAGUGCCGUUUUGGAAAUAUCAAGGGGAAUGAAAAGAGAAAGAGAAUUGACGGGAGAGAGAGGAAUCUGCCCACACUCAGGGGAUCAUCCAGAAUUCACAGAUGAACAGGGUGCACUCAAGGAAGACUGCCCCUCCAUCAGAGCACCACCCCUCAGUGACUGCUGACGUGUAAGACACUUCCAGCAUCUUUUUACCAGGCCCCACCCUUGGGGAUGCCCAGACCAAGAUAUCACUCUUUGCACUAAGUGACUCCUGAGAUACCAGCCCUUUACCUGACUUACAUUCUGUCAUCCUGCAUCAGAAUUGUUUCGAAUUUUUAGAGGUAUUGUGUUAUAAUGGUGUUCAAUGAAGUUGGAAGAAUUCUGGCUCUGCUGCUUAGAAACUGAAUGCAAGUUCCCUGACCACAGAGGUUGGGUCUUUUAAAGAACCUACUGUGUGCUGAGCGCUGUUGUAAGCACUGAGAAAUAAAGAACAAGAGAGGCGAAGUCCCUGAUGUCUCGGAGUUUAUGGUCUUAUGCGGUUCCUAAAAAUGAAGGUUAAAAGAAACUUGAACUGGAUUCCAUUUUAUCACACGCCUGGAAUGCUGAAAAUGCUGUGGCAAAGUCAUCCAUUCAUUCAUCUAAGUGAAAAGCCUAUAAAAUCAUAGGCAUCUUCAGCCAUAUCCUUAAAUUUCACCAUUUUACGUUUCACCAAAGUUAUAUUGGCAUUAUCUUUUGUGCUGGAAACAAAGUUAAUUGUCUUCUGCAGGAUACUUAAAAUAAAAUGGGCAAUCUCAGUUUAUUUUAUGAUAUUUAAGAGGCUAAAAUGAGCUUGUUCCACAAAUAGCCUUCCUAGUAAAUCCUGGGAAGUCAUGAGAGGGCUGUGUGACGGUAGCACACACCUACAGUAGAUGGCAUUGUGCAUUUGGCUUGGCCACAGCAAGUGUUUACUAAACUAGGGGUGGGUUGUCACAACAGACUCCAAGGUCAUGCAGAAAAUUAAUAUCAAUAAUUAAUAUCUUUGUAUGGUUUUACAUGGUACUUCACGUUUUUAGAUGAUUUAUAAUUAGUUAUCAUCCAUCCUUGAUAUGUUAUUGCCAUAAUUCAGGACCUCCAUAUCUCUUACCUGGACUACUUCUAAAUAGGUUCUCAUCUCACUCCAGCCCAUCCUCACCAUCACAUGUUCUCUUGACAAUGCAUCUUGGAGCCUGUCACUCCUGUUAUUUAUCUAUAGAAUGUUCUAUCUCUUGUUUCUUGGUUCUCACCUCCUACUACCUUCCCACAUUCACUGCUUAACACAGCCACAUGGAGUUUUGUGCCAUUCUCCAAACAUACUGUUUGGUUCUAAGCUCUGUUUCUUCACUGUUCUUCAUGAGUAUCUUCAAAGUCUCUGCCUUGCCUGACUGGCAAGCUCUCACAAGAACUGGGAAAUCAAGCCACAACUUUAUCUCUUCUGUGGAAGCCUUUUGGGAAAGUUCCAGGGUUGGCCUUUCUAUCUUUUGUGUUAUCUUAACCUUUGUACAUACUUUUAUUGUCAUUCUUAUCACCAUUGUCUCUUUCCAAAUCUGGGUUCCCCUCUCUCCACUAUCACCCCCAAAUAGAAAUUGAGUUCCUCCAGGGAAGAUACUCUUUCACAGUCAUCUUGGUAUCCCCAGAAUCUGGCAAGUGUUCAAUUAAAGAAACUGAUGAGCUCAAUUGAUUAUUAAAAGAACUUUUGUUCCUGUUUGAGGUAGAGAAAGUAGAAUACAACAAAGCAGAAACAAUGUUAUUUCACCUAAAUCAGAGGUGAGAAAUCUAUUUUACUGUGAGCCAAUUAUGAAAAUUUAAAGAUGCUCACUGGUUAUAUUUUUAAAUUAUUUAAAACAAAAAUAUUUCUACUGAAUGAAAGAAUUUCAAUGUGAAAAUAGGCACUUCCUGUUAUAGGCACUAAACUGUUAAAAUGUGAGCAGAUGUGAGAAGCAGCAGCACAGAGAUGGUUUUCUGAGCUUUGAUCAAAGCUUAGAAGUGGCAGAUUGCUCUUCAUCAACCAGGAUCAUUUAUUCUUGGCACCAAGUCUUGGCACUUAGAUUACAGAGGAUCAGAGGACCACAUGGUCCUUGUUCCUUAGGGAGGCCUUUCUUCAAAGGUUGACUUUCUUUGCCAUCCUCUCUCUGCAAGGGGUCUCUCUGGCCUCUCUAACUUAGUGGAUUUUUCCUUCCCCCCUCCCUCCACUUUUGUGAGUCAGGUGUUAGAGUUAAUACUUAGCAAAGAAAAUAUAUACACAUAUUAAAGUUGAUCAUUAGCAGCCUCAUAUAAAUAACACCCUGGGGAAAAUGCCUAAAUCUAUGAAUAGUUGCUUAUAAACUAUGAUUCACAGGGUCUCAAGGGGUUAUGUAGCAAUUUGGGAGACUGGUUGGAUGGGGCAUGUUUUGACUAUUCCAUCACCUACAGGUCUUGAGCGUUCCUGAAGUCUUCUCAUGGUACUAGGCCAUAUGUGACACAUAAGCAUUCAAGUUGUGUCUACAGGACAUCAAAAUAGCUAUCUAAUUGGACUAAA
rnacentral:lncRNA from 1 species